AUUUAAAUAGCUUAUAUUUAGAGCAUAAUAUUGAAGAUAUUAAGGAGAUAUUUUUAUCUUUAGAUA
rnacentral:tRNA from 1 species